AGUGGGGAAUUUUGGACAAUGGGCGCAAGCCUGAUCCAGCAAUGCCGCGUGCAGGAAGAAGGCCUUCGGGUUGUAAACUGCUUUUGUACGGAGCGAAAAGGCUCUCUCUAAUACAGGGGGCUCAUGACGGUACCGUAAGAAUAAGCACCGGCUAACUACGUGCCAGCAGCCGCGGUAAUACGUAGGGUGCGAGCGUUAAUCGGAAUUACUGGGCGUAAAGCGUGCGCAGGCGGUUUUGUAAGACAGGCGUGAAAUCCCCGGGCUCAACCUGGGAAUGGCGCUUGUGACUGCAAAGCUGGAGUGCGGCAGAGGGGGAUGGAAUUCCGCGUGUAGCAGUGAAAUGCGUAGAUAUGCGGAGGAACACCGAUGGCGAAGGCAAUCCCCUGGGCCUGCACUGACGCUCAUGCACGAAAGCGUGGGGAGCAAACAGGAUUAGAUACCCUGGUAGUCCACGCCCUAAACGAUGUCAACUGGUUGUGGGGUAU
rnacentral:rRNA from 1 species